CGCUGGCGGCGUGCCUAAUACAUGCAAGUCGAACGGUCUUUCUAUGGAAGCUUGCUUCCACUGAGAAGAUAGUGGCGAACGGGUGAGUAACACGUGGGUAACCUGCCCAUAAGAGGGGGGAUAACAUCCGGAAACGGGUGCUAAUACCGCAUAGUUUUCUUGAUCGCAUGAUCGGGAAAGGAAAGACGGCCUUUGUGCUGUCGCUUAUGGAUGGACCCGCGGCGUAUUAGUUAGUUGGUGAGGUAACGGCUCACCAAGACGAUGAUACGUAGCCGACCUGAGAGGGUGAUCGGCCACAUUGGGACUGAGACACGGCCCAAACUCCUACGGGAGGCAGCAGUAGGGAAUCUUCCGCAAUGGACGAAAGUCUGACGGAGCAACGCCGCGUGAGUGAAGGAGGGUUUUUUCCGGAUCGUAAAACUCUGUUGUCAGAGAAGAACAAGUUGGAGAGUAACUGCUCCAGCCUUGACGGUAUCUGACCAGAAAGCCACGGCUAACUACGUGCCAGCAGCUGC
rnacentral:rRNA from 1 species